GCAUUUCAUGCAUCAUUUGCAUAACAGGUUCCUUCCGCCAGGUGUCUUAUCAGUUCUUCUUCUGUGUAUCAGCCAAGCUGACUCAUCGCUAUAAUACCCGAGCUAAUCAAAUGAAGAGAAUGGAGCACCUAAACAAGAGAACAAAGAGCUAAAGGAUGAGUUUGCCAGACUCACAACCUUGAUGGAGUCUGUGAUAGCUUCUUUGAACCAACUGUCUCCAC
rnacentral:lncRNA from 1 species